rnacentral:rRNA from 1 species
CCUACGGGAGGCAGCAGUGAGGAAUAUUGGUCAAUGGACGAGAGUCUGAACCAGCCAAGUAGCGUGAAGGAUGACUGCCCUAUGGGUUGUAAACUUCUUUUAUAUGGGAAUAAAACGUUCCACGUGUGGGAUUUUGUAUGUACCAUAUGAAUAAGGAUCGGCUAACUCCGUGCCAGCAGCCGCGGUAAUACGGAGGAUCCGAGCGUUAUCCGGAUUUAUUGGGUUUAAAGGGAGCGUAGGUGGAGUGUUAAGUCAGUUGUGAAAGUUUGCGGCUCAACCGUAAAAUUGCAGUUGAAACUGGCAGUCUUGAGUACAGUAGAGGUGGGCGGAAUUCGUGGUGUAGCGGUGAAAUGCUUAGAUAUCACGAAGAACUCCGAUUGCGAAGGCAGUUCACUGGACUGCAACUGACACUGAGGCUCGAAAGUGUGGGUAUCAAACAGGGUUAGAUACCCUGGUAGUC